AAAUUACAUCCACGUGGAACCUCAGAAGGGGACUUUAUUUGGAGAUACGGUCUUUGCAGAUGGGUCUGGAGAUGCGAUCGCCCUGGAUUUAGGACAAGCCCUGAUGGGAGAACAGACACCCCUCUCCUGAAAUUCUGGACGAAUCCUUGGCUGCACACCGCCAGCCUCAGUUUACCUCCACAGUCAGGUUCAACCCCCUGCUUCCUAACGCAUCGGCGGCUCUGAACUGGCCAAUGAGUCCAUCACAACACCCUUUAUAUAUUCGCUCAACAAACAUUUAUCAACCGUCUACUGCGCACGUGCGCCAGGUUCUUCCAGGCCCCAGAGAAUAUGGCAAAAUUCCUGCCUGCACGGGGCUGAUGCUGAGCUGGGGGAGCCACAGAGUAAACAGCCAGACAGACAAUCAAGGGACACAACUUCAGCAACCAAAGACUCUCUAGGGGAAAGGAAGUACCAGACUAUUAGAACGGUGGGGAAACUGAGGCCAGGCGGAGUCCCGGACGGCAGGCAGUGAGUAGAAGCUUUGGGAGCCCAACCCAGAUCCCCUCCUAGGCUCAGAUUUCUAACAGGCCUCAGGGCCUGCCCCCUCUCGCCUCCUUCCUGGGUGGAGCCCACCCGGUUGUGCAAACAUAUAGCUCCCCCCUCGGGGGGGGGGGCGUGGGUGCCGGCUCCCUAGAUGGCAUUAUUUCCUCAUUUCUCCUUCCUAGCACCAGACGGCAGCCUCCUGGUCCAGCAGGAGGCCCCGGGCUUGGCAACAUCAGGCUUUCUCGAAAUAAAAAUGAGGAGGGAAAAAGCCUUUCCAGGAGGCCAGUUCUCAUAUUUACAUGUAAAAAGGUCCCCUCGGGCUCUCCCCGCCCUUCCCCCCACUUCCUCUGGGGGCGGGGGAUCGUUUGGAGGGCGGGCAGGGGGCCUCUGUGACCCCAGGCGCCUCCACAGGGCCGGGCUGAGGCGUCCGCUGGGAGAAAGAUCAGAUGGCCCCGGAGGGGGGAGGGGAGGCGGCUGCUUCCUCGCUCCCCUCCCCCCUGGGAUUUCGUGGGUGUGGUAACACGUGAGGCCGGCCGUCUGCGCCCGCGCCCGCGCCCCCCGCCCCCGCCAUCUGCUCGGAGGCCAAAAGUCGCCGGGGAGGUGCGGGGCGCUGCCGGGGGCUGCGCGACCCCGGCAGUAACCUUCCCCCUCCCUGUCCCCACCUCUUAAAGCAGAUGUCCCUUAUUGAUGGGCUCGCGUCCGCUCCAGCUCCCCCCCCCCCCCCACAACGCCCCUCCGGCCCGGAUCGCCCGCCGCGGACGGCUGCGGCGGCGGCGGGCUCCGUCCCGGGGACCGCCGCGGCGAGGGGUCCCUGCCCGGGAACCAGGGCGCCCGGCCAGCGGGGCUCCCUCCAGGCCGCCGGCCCGCCCCUCCGGCGGCGAGGCCGGCGCCCACGGGCCCUCCCGGGCUUGGGCCGCGCGCCCAGCUGGCCGGGCUGGGGCGGGAGCUGGCUCCGGGGACUCCCCGGGAGGUCAGAGCCUUCCCCCUCCGGGCUGCCCCGUCCGCGCCUUAACCCUCUGGACCCAGAGUUUCAGCUCUCGCCCCGGUUCAAGAGGAGAGGGACUCUCUCCCGGGACCUUCACCAACCAACAUCCGCUCAACAUCGGCCAUCCAUCCGUCCGUCCAUCCAACAUCCACCCAAGGAACCCAGGGGUUGCGAUCAGACAGACCUGAGCUUAAUCAAAGCACAGCCCUCCUUUUAUGUCUGGCGACCUGCCCCAGGGUGACCACUCCGGACUUCCAGGCUCGAUCUCCAGUGAGACAGCCCCGACUCUGUCGCUCUGUGUCUGGGGCCUGCUGCUUAAAUGGUCCCAGCCUCAGUUUCCCCGUCUA